rnacentral:rRNA from 1 species
GGCGCGCAAUUACCCAAUCCCGACACGGGGAGGUAGUGACAAUAAAUACUGAUACAGGGCUCUUUUGGGUCUUGUAAUUGGAAUGAGUACAAUUUAAAUCCCUUAACGAGGAACAAUUGGAGGGCAAGUCUGGUGCCAGCAGCCGCGGUAAUUCCAGCUCCAAUAGCGUAUAUUAAAGUUGUUGUGGUUAAAAAGCUCGUAGUUGAACCUUGGGCCUGGCUGGCCGGUCCGCCUCACCGCGUGUACUGGUCCGGCCGGGCCUUUCCCUCUGUGGAACCCCAUGCCCUUCACUGGGUGUGGCGGGGAAACAGGACUUUUACUUUGAAAAAAUUAGAGUGCUCCAGGCAGGCCUAUGCUCGAAUACAUUAGCAUGGAAUAAUAGAAUAGGACGUGUGGUUCUAUUUUGUUGGUUUCUAGGACCGCCGUAAUGAUUAAUAGGGACAGUCGGGGGCAUCAGUAUUCAAUUGUCAGAGGUGAAAUUCUUGGAUUUAUUGAAGACUAACUACUGCGAAAGCAUUUGCCAAGGAUGUUUUCAUUAAUCAGGAACGAAAGUUAGGGGAUCGAAGACGAUCAGAUACCGUCGUAGUCUUAACCAUAAACUAUGCCGACUAGGGAUCGGACGAUGUUAUUUUUUGACUCGUUCGGCACCUUACGAGAAAUCAAAGUGCUUGGGCUCCA